rnacentral:lncRNA from 1 species
AGGAAAUCUGAGACUCCAGAAAAGUUAAACGUGUUCAGGCUUACCCAGCUAAUAAGUGAGUGAAGCAGGAUUUGAAUCCACGUUCAUCUGACUCCGUGGGACGUUAGAAGGAUACUUCUCUAAUUAGGAAGAGAAACAGAGACUGAAACACAGAGUGGCCACCCAGCCUCACACAGCUAGACACUUGAAUUUGGACAGACAAGCAACCCAGCCACCUUUCAGUGUGGCUGUGUCAGUAUCGGAAUGAAAUGAACAUGACCCCCUCCAGCAGGGAAGGGAACACACAGUAAAGAUGGUCAAAACGAGAGCUGAUGAAGAGAGAGACUGAGCUCAUAUCUGAACUGGAGAGAAACUCCGAACACCCUAGCAACCUGCAUUCUGUAUGUUAUUGUGUACUGGUGUAUUUGCUAAUGAACAGUUGCAUGUAUAGAUAGUUUAUGUGGUUUCCAAGAGCUAAAUGAGAAUGGUG